CAAGACUUUCAUGUGUUGAAAGCAAGCCUCCUCUUUUGUAAAGAAAAAACUUUUGAAUUAUUUAAUAAAAAAUAGGUAUAUUUCCAAGGAAAAGCUAUGACUCAGACAGCUAUGGAAAAUCUAGAAUUAUCAGAUUUACCAAAACAGGUGAAGAAGAUUACUUUGGUCAAAGUGAUGUGGCAAAACCAUCUGGUUACAAAGGCUACUUGGGAGGUUAAUUAGGAUUGGAGAGAGAUGUCUCCAUUAAUUUGAGAAAUUAGACUAUGCUAUCAAGACUCCGAUGUGACAUCAUCUCUAGACGUACCAAUUGAUUUGAUCUGAGGGUGAGCUACUUGCAUUUUAGGCUACCCUAAGUCUUUGUAGUUCUUGUUGUCUUUCUUUCAGACAAUGGACUUUUUUUAGUUGUUUUUAGAUUAUUUUUAGACAUUGAUUUUGGAUUAGCAUCAUUGGAUAGCGACUUUCGGGUCUUGUAGAUGAAAUAAAUAGUAAUUUUAUAUUUACUAAUUAUUAGUUUUUUAAAUAUCUACUAUUUAUCUUGAGAUUAUUGUUAUUUUAUCUUAAUUGAUUAAUUGAGUGGGUUUAAGGCUUGGGU